rnacentral:rRNA from 1 species
AAACGUAGGAGACAAGCGUUAUCCGGAGUUACUGGGCGUAAAGGGCGUGUAGGCGGCCUUCUAAGUGGGUUGUGAAAGCGACUGGCUCAACCGGUCGAGGCCGACCCAGACUGGGAAGCUAGAGGGCGGUAGAGGGGUGUGGAAUUCCGGGUGUAGUGGUGAAAUGCGUAGAGAUCCGGAGGAACACCAGAGGCGAAGGCGGCUCUCUGGACCGAUACUGACGCUGAGACGCGAAAGCGUGGGUAGC